ensembl:lncRNA
CUCUCGGAUAGAUUUAAGUUUUUAACCUAAUGAUGACCUUCACUUGCACUGCCAUCUCAUUGGGCAUUAGAGUUAGACUUAGUUAUAGUUACAGUAAAAACAUAUACAAAUUCAACACUAACAUUUGUGUGUUUCUUUGUCAAGAAGAGGUGGCCCAAACGAUCUGGAAGGCUGUUUUUGUCCAAGCUGUGGUUGUUGCACUUCAGCAUCUAGCUAGCUAUUGGUACAGAAGAAGAGCUAGCAUAAGUGGGGUAACAUUUUUAAGUUUCAGCGUGAACGAAGUAAGAAAGACUACUGGAGAGGAAGAAGAAAGAUUAUAUUUAAAGCCCGAGGCAGGAGGUUGGGGGGAUAUGUCAAUCUUAUGAUGGAAAAAAAAGGCAAGAGAAAGGAGCAUCCCUCUUGGCAGUCUUUCAACGUUCUGGGCAUUGGGUAUUAUUUGGGGAGAAAUCCCCUUCAGCAGAACCACACACACAGUCAGUGGAGAUUGGGACUGAGGUCCAGUCCAAGGAGCCAGGGCUGCAGCUGAGAGAACCACACAGGACCUGUCUUUUGGAGGUCUGCAGGCCCGUAGGCCACACACUUAAAACACAGG